ensembl:lncRNA
GCUGCCCUCCUUUCACUGGCUGCACUGACCAGGAAAGUGUCCCCGGGCGUGGCGAACCAGGUGGGUCCCAGCACCGCGGUCCCCAGCCGUGCACCCCAGGCACGCUGCGUGGCCUCCCGGGGCCUCGGCGCCCUGGCCUGAGGUGGAGGGGCCUAUCCCUGUGAGUGUUGAGUGAGAGGGGAGCAUGCAGGACGGAGCAGUGUUCUCGCUGCGGGCGCUGCUGCUGUUGAUUGUGGCCCUGUGCUAUCUGCUGGGCUGACCCAGGACUGCCACUCUGCAGCAGUGGGCCUGUGACUUACCAGCUCCCUCAACCAUUCUGAGCCUCAGUGCUUUUAUUUAUAACGUGGGGAGGAUAACCCUUUUCUCACAAGAUUCUUGUUACAACCCGAUGAAACAACACAUUUUUAAAGUGCUCUGAGCACUUUGUAACAAUACUACUAAUGGCAGAUAGAAGUUAUUGAAUACUCCCUAACACCAGCGCCAUGAUUGCUUUUCACUUACAAUUUUUUACUUAAUCCUUAUAACCGUGAGUCAUUAGUCUCAUUUAUGUAGAUUGGGGAACUCAGGUCCCUGAAAAGUAACCUGCUCAGAGACACAGCUUGUAAGCAACAGAAUCCAGACUUGGACCCCUCACUCCAGAUGUGGGCUUCCCAGGUGGCUCAGUGGUAAAGAAUCUGCCAGCCAGCAUGGAAGACGCAGGUUCGGUCCCCGGGUUGGGAAGAUCCCCUGGAGAAGGAAAUGGAAACCUACUCCAGUAUUCCUACCUAGGAAAUCCAAGGGACAGAGGAGCCUUGUGGGCUACGUCCACGGGGUUGCACAAGAGUCAGACACAACUUAUUGACCAAACAGCGACAGCAGCAACCACCCCAGGAUCUGGCUGUGCCCUCAUGGUUCACAGAGAAAGUAAGCCAGUGAGGGAGAGAACAGCGUGGCGUGGGGGCUCACUUCCCCUGGCAAGCUUGGGAUAAUGAUAAACUCUGGAAAAAAUUCAAGCCACCAUUAAGAAUGAAAAGGCAAGCCGCAGUGGGAGAAGAUAUUUGCAAAUCCGAAAACUGCUAAGAGGCUUGUAUCCAGAAUAAUUAAAAAUUUCCAUACAUCCAAAUGAGCCAAAGAUUUGAACAGGCACAUCACCAAAGAAGUUACACAGUUUGCCAAGAAGUAUGAGCAGCAGGGUGCAACGUGAAAUCCCAAGGAGACACAUCUGCACAUCGACCAAAGUGGCUGAAAAUAAACAAACUAAACAAUACAAAGUGCUGGAGAGGAUGUAAGGCAAGUACACCAGCCAUCCACUGGCUCGUAGGGGUGUACAGUGGCGUUCACCAUCACUUUGGAAAACUGUUUCACAGCACUGAGUGCUAAGCAUUGUGUAUCCUAUGGCUCAGCAAUUCCACCCUCUGUAUGCACCCAACUGAAGCACAUACUUGUGUGCACUCAAGACAUGUACAAAACUGCUCAUAACUAUUCAGUCACAAUAGCAAAAGGCUGAAAACACCCCAAAUGUCCACCAACAGUGGAGUGGAUAAUUAUACUGUGGUGUCCUUCGAGAUGAAAUUGAACAAUUGAAUGCAACACACAAUAACACAGAACUGAAAUCAUGCUCGAUGAAAGAAGACAAACAAUUAAGAGGGUACCAUGAGUGAUUCUACAUAUUCCAGGUUCAAGAAAGACAGAGUUAGUCAAUGAGGAUUGGCAUCUAGAUGGUAGUUAUUUGGAGGGUGUGACGGGAAGGAGGCAAAAGGUGGGGUACUUUUGAGGUGCAGCAAAUGUCCUGUUUCUAGAUCUGGGCUGUGACUUCAUAGGUUUGGACAGUGAACAUUUGUCAAGUUCUUAUGCUUAUCAUUCAUCCACUUUUCUCCAUGUGUGUUUCACUUCAAUAAACAGUUUACUUAAAAGAACGUACUUCGGUUUGCCAAGUUGAAGACAGCUACAACAUCUUCAUUGCCUUGAAAAGAGUUAUUGUGUUUUUUUUGUUUGUUUUUUUUUGCUGUUCAAAAACGUGAGAAACCAAGAUGCUGGUCUCCCACUCUGAACCAAUAAACAAACAAAUUAAUAGUAAAGUAAGUGGGUUCACAGGCUUCCCAGGUGGUGCUAGGGGUGAAGAAUCCGCUUGCCAAUGCUGGAGAUGUAAGGGACUAAGUUUUGAUCCCUGGAUUGGGAAGAUCCCCUGGAAGAGGGAAUGGGAUCCCACUCCAGUAUCCUUGCCUGGAGAAUCCCAAGGACAGAGGAACCUGGUGGACGACAGUCCAUAGGGUCAAAAAGAGUUGGACACAGCUGAAGCAACUUAGCACACAUGCAAGCAGGUUCACAAGUGACUUACUUGUAGACAAUCUACACCGAGUGUCCUCAUAUCUUCCAUCCACAGACAAGCCAGCCUUCCUUUCAGCAAAGUAGCCUGUUCCCCUCUCAGCCCAUCUGCUUCUCCAAGUCCAUGGAAGUUGGUUACCCCCAACUCCAGCCCUCUCAUCCCCAUGCUGGUCUAUCCAUCUGCUCGCCAGACAUCAGACACAAGGGAGACUGGGUCACAGUCAGCCCUCUUUGGUCACCGUAGAGCUCACUGGUGACCUGUUUUUUUCAUUCCAUGCUGGUGCCCCCUGACAUGUAGAAUUGGGGAUAGACUUUUUGGGGAUUUCCUCUCUCUGGAAACCUCUCAGCUUUUGCUGAGAUACUCAGGACACUAAGGUGUCUUUCCUGAGAUACUUGGUGAAAAGCAUCCAGGCGUUUUUUCUGGCUGCACUCUUUGUUGGUGAACACUGGCUCUUCACUGCUGUGCAUGGGCUUUCUCUCGUGAGCGGGCUCCGGAGCAUGAGCUUCGCAGCUGUGGUGCACGUGCUUAGUUGCCCCGCGGCAUGUGGAGCCUUCUCAGACCAAGGAUCGAACCUCUGUGCCUCACAUUGGCCACUGGACCACCAGGGAAGGCCCAGGCAUUUUUUUUUUUUUUAAUGAGAAGAGGGGCUCUAAUUUGGAAGCUACAUCUGCUGAAGGAAUGUGCCCUACACAAAAGGGCUCCUUUAUUUCAUCAGGAGAUCUUAGGGCGUUCCAAUUAAUCCCAUACUCUUAUCAACCCACAGGGUGAGAGGUGUUGGUAUAACCAAGUGGACCUUUUUUACAAGCCAUCUUUGUGUGGCCCAUCAUCAUCCCUUCCCAGUAGGUUGCUGAAGUUACAGUAAAGCAAGUGGGCCUUUGAGAACCCCCGGCAUCGCCUCCUGGCUUUCAGGGAAGGACCGGGAGGGAAAGUGGAGCAGUAAGAAGACAGGUCUUUGGGGACGCCUGGUAGCGACCCCACUCAGGGAUCCCAGGACAGGGCAAGUCUUGUUGUUCCAGAAGUAGCUGUCACCUCCUCUCCUUGAUUUGUUUUCUUUUCUUCUACCAUCACAGUCAGGUUCCAGAAGCCUCCCUAGGAGGGACCAGGGAGCUGGCUGUGCCUCCCACUAGGAGCCAAUGGGCUCAGGCAGCCUCAGCUGAGAUGGGCUGGAGGAGAGAGGCAGCCGUGUGAACUAACAGGCAAGAAACAUGCACUCCUGAGCUGCCUUGUGGGGGGCUGUGUGAGGAGCGAGGGUCUUGGCUUCUGCAGAUAUACCUCUUGGGUUGAAAUCCCACCCCCGCCUCCUGUCCUCUGGGCCCCCGUCUCCCUACCUGUGAGGUAGGGAUGGUGGUAGAAUCUGCUUUGUUGGGUUGCUGGGAGCAAUGAAUAGCAUGUGAAGCACUUAGAACACCAUGGGUGAUGCUAAGAUGAGGGUAGAUGACCACCAGAAAAGGCAAGGGUACGUUCUUCUAACUGAAAAGGUGAGACAAAGGCAGACACAGCGAAGUUUGGUACUUGCUUCCCAGGUGGCACAGUGGUAAAGAAUCUGCCUGCCAGUGCAGGAGACCCCUGGGUUGGGAAGAUCCUCUAGAGAAGGAAAUGGCAGCCCACUCUAGUACUCUCGCCUGGGAAAUCCCAUGGACAGAGGAGCCUGCCAGGCUACCAGUCCAUGGGGUCGCAAAGAGUCGGACAUGACUGAACACACACACACACACACAAGAAGAUAGAGCCUGUCUAUCGCCCAAGCUAACCACUGUACCACCUGGCCUUAGUGGAACCCUGGCCUCUCAGUAGGACCACCUAGGUAUCCAGUGAC